GGCGCUAUAGUGUAGUGGUUAUCACCCCAGAUUCUGACCUCAGGAUCUUCUGGGAACCCAGGUUCGAUCCCUGGUAGCGCCU
rnacentral:tRNA from 1 species